GACGAACGCUGGCGGCGUGCCUAAUACAUGCAAGUAGAACGCACAGUUUAUACCGUAGCUUGCUACACCAUAGACUGUGAGUUGCGAACGGGUGAGUAACGCGUAGGUAACCUGCCUGGUAGCGGGGGAUAACUAUUGGAAACGAUAGCUAAAACCGCAUAAUAUUGAUUAUUGCAUGAUAAUUGAUUGAAAGAUGCAAUGUCAUACCUCCAAAAUGACCCUGCGUUGUAUUAGCUAGUAGGUGAGGUAACGGCUCACCUAGGCGACGAUACAUAGCCGACCUGAGAGGGUGAUCGGCCACACUGGGACUGAGACACGGCCCAGACUCCUACGGGAGGCAGCAGUAGGGAAUCUUCGGCAAUGGACGAAAGUCUGACCGAGCAACGCCGCGUGAGUGAAGAAGGUUUUCGGAUCGUAAAGCUCUGUUGUAAGAGAAGAACGGGUGUGAGAGUGGAAAGUUCACACUGUGACGGUAUCUUACCAGAAAGGGACGGCUAACUACGUG
rnacentral:rRNA from 1 species